UAUUAUUAAGUAUCACCUGCUCAAUGAAAUUUAAAUAGCCGCAGAAAUUUAACUGUGCUAAGGUAGCAUAAUCAUUAGCUCUUUAAUUAAGGGCUUGUAUGAAAGGUGUCACAUUUUACAUUCUGUAAAUAUUUUAUUUAAUUUAAUUUAAACUAAGAAUAAAAAUGUUCUUAUUUUAUAAAUAGACGAUAAGACCCUAUUGAACUUUACUUUAGUUUAACUGGGGCAGUUAAAUAAUCAACAUUUUAUUAAUUAUUUUAUUAUAUAAAAACCCAAUCACUUUGAUUUUGAAAAAGUUACCAUAGGGAUAACAGCGUAAUUUAUUUUUCAAGCUCUUAUUUAAAAAUAAGAUUGCGACCUCGAUGUUGAAUUAAUGUUCCUCUUUACAAAGCAACAAUUUAUAGAGUAGGUCUGUUCGACCUUUAAAACAUUACA
rnacentral:rRNA from 1 species